rnacentral:rRNA from 1 species
AUUGAACGCUGGCGGCAUGCCUUACACAUGCAAGUCGAACGGCAGCACGGGAGCAAUCCUGGUGGCGAGUGGCGAACGGGUGAGUAAAGUAUCGGAACGUGCCCAGUCGUGGGGGAUAACGUAGCGAAAGUUACGCUAAUACCGCAUACGAUCUAUGGAUGAAAGCGGGGGAUCGCAAGACCUCGCGCGAUUGGAGCGGCCGAUAUCAGAUUAGGUAGUUGGUGGGGUAAAGGCUCACCAAGCCGACGAUCUGUAGCUGGUCUGAGAGGACGACGAGCCACACUGGGACUGAGAGACGGCCCAGACUCCUACGGGAGGCAGCAGUGGGGAAUUUUGGACAAUGGGCGAAAGCCUGAUCCAGCCAUGCCGCGUGCAGGAUGAAGGCCUUCGGGCUGUAAACUGCUUUUGUACGGAGCGAAAAGGCUCUCUCUAAUACAGGGGGCUGAUGACGGUACCGUAAGAAUAAGCACCGGCUAACUACGUGCCAGCCGCCGCCGUAA